rnacentral:tRNA from 1 species
AAGAGGUGUAUUAACAAUUAGAGCUGCUAACUCAAAUUACCAGGAAUAAAAUUCCUAGGCCUCUUA